UACGGGGGGGGCAAGCGGUUGUUCGGAAUUACUGGGCGUAAAGGGCGCGUAGGCGGCCGCCUAAGUCAGACGUGAAAUCCCUCGGCUCAACCGGGGAACUGCGUCUGAUACUGGGUGGCUUGAAUCCGGGAGAGGGAUGCGGAAUUCCAGGUGUAGCGGUGAAAUGCGUAGAUAUCGAGGAGAACGAGCCGAGUGGCGAAGGCGGGUCGC
rnacentral:rRNA from 1 species